UGUGUGUGUGUGUGUGUGUGUGUGUGUGUGUCUGAGUUUGCUUCCAUACGUGGGAAGUGAGCUAAUAUCAGUCUUCAGGGUCUAAUUUUAGAGUUGUGCGCUAUGUUGCAACACCAAGGACACACACACACACACACACACACACACAGU
rnacentral:miRNA from 14 species